AACAUCUAUUUGGAUUUUGGAUCAGAUAUUGAUGAUGAGGUCAUUUUUCAAUCUAAUUCCUUGGCCUGGGGAUGUGUUGAUGUUGUUUCCUGUAUUCCUAUUGGUAAUGGACAUUUAUACACAGCAAUACGGUUCACAUCGACGGGUAUGAUUGAGUUCUCCAACCAAGCAUGCUCACAAAAUAGAUCUAUGAUUCAAUACACAAAUCCUUCGCUCUUCAUGACCACUGAUGACGCAGCCAUUGCAGUUCUGGGAGCUCCAGUCGACCUCAGCAUUGGUGAUCCAAAAAUAUUUUAUCAGUAUCAAGACAGUAGCAGCGGAGGAUCAUUUAUUUCUGACUUGAUGAGCAGAUUAAGCAUGAUAGAUUCUGAACUGAAUGACACCAAUCCAAUAGUAGCGCUGAAGAUCACAUGGGUUGGGAUCCAGCCACCAGGAUCAUUAGGA